CAGGGGAAAUAUCUGGCUUAUCUACAAAUCAAUGACACUGGAGUUCACAACAUCGAAUACUCGUUGUAUGGAAAUGACCAGUAUCCCACCACAGUAUUUAUCCCCUACCCAAAAGCAGGCUGUGUUAUUCCCAGAGCAAGGCUGUUUGUGAUUGAUGUGGAAAAUCCGUCCAGACAAUCAGAAGUGGUGGUACCGAAAUCCGUCGGCAUAGGCGAUCACUAUCUGAGAACAGUCACCUGGGUCACAGAUGAACGACUGGCUGUUCAAUGGCUUCCACGCCGACAGGACAGCGUCCUUCUGCAGAUCUAUGACUAUGACGGCACCAACUGGAAAGAA